rnacentral:rRNA from 1 species
AGAGAGAGACAUGCGCGCAUAUCAAUAAGCGGAGGAAAAGAAACUAACAAGGAUUCCCUUAGUAACGGCGAGUGAAGCGGGAAGAGCUCAAAUUUGAAAUCUUCAAGGUUUUACCUUGACGAAUUGUAGUUUAAAGAAGUGUUCUCUGCUGAAGUUUUGGUAAAAGUUCUUUGGAAUAGGACAUCAUAGAGGGUGAGAAUCCCGUAUUUGACCAUUAUUUUCAGCUUUGUGAUACACUUUCAAAGAGUCGGAUUGUUUGGGAAUGCAGUCCAAAAUGGGUGGUAAAUUUCAUCUAAAGCUAAAUAUUGGCGAGAGACCGAUAGCGAACAAGUACCGUGAGGGAAAGAUGAAAAGAACUUUGAAAAGAGAGUUAAACAGUACGUGAAAUUGUCAAAAGGGAAGCGUUUGACACCAGUGUUGUUUUCUCCGAAAAUCAAUUAAAAAUGGCUCGAUUUUGUAUUGUUGAGACCUUAAAAGCUCACUGUACAUUUUUCGUGUCUUUUUUAAUGCACUUUUCGUUUAACAAGUCAACAUCAGUUUCUUUUGUUGUAAAAGGGUCAUUGGAAGGUGGCUUUCUUUUCGGAGAAAGUGUUUAUAGCCUUUGGCCUCUGCAAUCGGAGAGAUUGAGGUCUGCAGCGUAGACUCCUUCGGGGUUAGAUACAUUUGUGCUAAGUUAUAGCCUUUUCAUAGACAACUUGUUGACUAUAAUCAGUCAUGUAGCUUACUCGCUUAUGCUAUUUUACCUACGCUUAGGAUGUUGAGUCGUAGAGCACGCAG